rnacentral:lncRNA from 12 species
CUGAAGGUAAAGAAAAAAAUCAAGCAGAAUGCAAAGAGAAACAGUCUGAAGGUAAAAUGACUGUGGAAAAUACAUAUAAGGGGCAGAAAAAGAGACUUCAUCACUGGUAAAAGUACUUGGCUUAGCUUGCUUUGUGGGAGAUAACAAUGAAACUUUGGGACCAUGACAGGUUCUGACAG